GGGCAGACAUUGUUAGGAGAACAGAUGUUCGGGCAGGCAGGCCUGGGACCCGCUGGAGGGAGUCAAGAAGACACUACCUCCUAAUUAAUAGGCGGUAAAUGUCUGAGGAACAGACUCCUGUCCCAUUUCUUCAAACAUCUGGGGUUCCGGACACUUAGGCCCUCUGCCAGGAAACUCAGGCAUUGUUCUGCUGGAAGGAGAGAAGGCCAGGAGGCAACCCUCAAAACCUGGGUGUGUUUGGCCAAGGCCAAGUAGAGAUUUAAGGGUCUUCGAGUAAAGCAUUCAGGAUUCUUACUCUUCAUUUGCUAUCUUUCUUAAAGACAGAAUAAAAUAAAAUGGGAUUUAGGUUGGAUUCCAAAAAAAACUUCCUGACUAUAAAGAGGUAUUAGAAAGUUCAUUUCCUAGGACAGAUCCCUGAAAGAUGCAACCACAUCAAAUGCCCACUCUGCAGGCAGGAGACUGGACAAUUUGACAUUUACCACCACAGGCACGCUCAGAGGUCCCCUCAGGCAACUGGGCUCUAGCUCCCAUCUCAAGUGAGGCUUGUGGACAAUGCAAAAUCUAAAGUCAAACACAUCCUUUGCUAAAUUUAACAAGCAGAUAGGCAUAGCGUUCAGAUAUUAAAAUGAAGUCUUUUUUUAAUGAAUGGGCAGGGCUUGGAGUUUGCCAAUGUCAUCAAUGAGGUUAAUGUGGCUACGUUAAAGUUAGCACAUGAGUUUUGGAUGAUGCAGUUUAUCAAACCAGCAGGGACUGAGCAACAGCUCAGGCAGAAAGUUGGCGCCUGGCCUUAGGGAGCCCUGUCCGGCCUGGGUAUCCUUGCCCACGUGCCACAGCUAAAAUGCUGGUAGGACCUCGGGGACUUAAGGCAGGGUUGCUGCUACCCCCGGCUGUUUGGGCCAACACUUGAGCUCCGGCCUGGAACAGAAGGCUCCCUAAUAGGUUGUUAAGAGCCUGGGAAGGCGGAACAAGCUGGGCGGGGAGGAGGGGGCCUCAGGGGGCUGUUAUGAUAAGCAAGAGCUCAGUCUAAAGACAUGCUCCCAAGCUGAAGGUUUCAUUUCCUGCCAGGCAACUCACCCGUUUGAAUCAAACACAGAAUUUAGUAUUCACCAUAGAACAAUCAUAUGACAAAAACUUUGCAGAGUUUACCCAGAUGUAGGUUUUCCUUAAGGUAAAAGAGGAGUCAUAUUACCGAAGCCUCAUCUUCUCACGAGUUCAAAACCUCUCCAACCUCUCAGGAGAAACCAAGGGCCGGAAAGGUUAAAGGCCUCACCCUCAAGGUCCCACCAAAGAAUCGAAGCUGGUGCCAGCUCUCCGACUCCUACCCAGCAACCCGCCCCAGGUGGCCAGCAGCUGCCUCUGAGAAUGCAGAAGGCCGAGGGGGGCUGAGAGUGUUUCUAAAUCACAGCACACUUGCUCCAUCCCGAUGGCCUUGUGAUGCCUGAGGCAUGAGGGCAGGCCAGGACAGGAGCCAUGCAGCGGGGUCUCCCACCCCAGGCCCUCCAGGCCCCCAAAAGGCUUCCUGUCAGGCCCUGCACUGCCCCCUCCUCCCACUUUGAUCCCAGAGAGGGGAGGGGGUGGAGAGUCCAGAGAAGUCCCCACUUGGCAUCGAUUUGCCCAAAGCAAAGGCAACACAAAGGCUGCACCUGUUUCCAUGGAGAUGCGACGGGGAAGCAAAGGAACAAAACAGGGAGAAACACAAACCCGUCACCACCUCCCAGGCCAGUGUGAUCGAUGCUGGCAGACCAGAGCCCUGACAGGAAGACAGCGGAAGGAUGAAAGGUAAUCAGUGGAUCUAGAAGCCACACUGGGAGCCCUUUCAGGCCACAGAGAGGAGGCCAGCAGCCUCGCCCACCCCCAGGCUCACAAACUCGCCUGGGCCCCGCUCUCGAGAACCAGUCCAAGCAAAAACUCCCAGACGGAAAUCCACAGUGAGCACUUACUUUACAAAAGGAUUCCUUGCUUGACUAAGGGAUUCCUUCAAGCAGCAAAAUCCCACCUGGAGUGCACUGUCUGUUUUAUUUCAUUAUUCACUUCUCUGAGCAGGAGGAGGAGGGGGUCAAGGGAGUAACUUCCAGGGGAAAGUUUGUGAGAAGAGAUGAGGGGAUGGAGGGGUGGGGACUGGACUCUGUUCAUAAAACAUCUCCUAGGAGAGGCCCACAAGAAAAUGGAGACGUGGUGACUUUAGAAGAGAAAGGUGAGCAGGCUAAGCGCCUGAGGCCCAUCCAAUAGGGAGGACAUGGGAACCUGAACAGUGGAGAAGAAUGGGCGGCAACAGGUGU
rnacentral:lncRNA from 1 species